GUCUACGGCCAUGUCACCCUGAACAAGCCACAUGUCUGAUCUCAAAGCUAAGCAGGGUCAGGCCUGGUUAGUAUUUGGAUGGGAGACCACCUAGGAAGACCAGGUGCUGUAGGCA
rnacentral:rRNA from 1 species